CCUACGGGAGGCAGCAGUGGGGAAUAUUGGACAAUGGGCGGAAGCCUGAUCCAGCAACGCCGCGUGAGGGAUGACGGCCUUCGGGUUGUAAACCUCUUUCAGUACCGACGAAGCGCAAGUGACGGUAGGUACAGAAGAAGCACCGGCCAACUACGUGCCAGCAGCCGCGGUAAUACGUAGGGUGCGAGCGUUGUCCGGAAUUAUUGGGCGUAAAGGGCUCGUAGGCGGUUUGUCGCGUCGGGAGUGAAAACGCCGCGCUUAACACGGCGCUUGCUUUCGAUACGGGCAGACUAGAGGUAUGCAGGGGAGAACGGAAUUCCUGGUGUAGCGGUGAAAUGCGCAGAUAUCAGGAGGAACACCGGUGGCGAAGGCGGUUCUCUGGGCAUUACCUGACGCUGAGGAGCGAAAGUGUGGGGAGCGAACAGGAUUAGAUACCCUGGUAGUCCACACCGUAAACGUUGGGCGCUAGGUGUGGGGUCCAUUCCACGGAUUCCGUGCCGCAGCUAACGCAUUAAGCGCCCCGCCUGGGGAGGUACGGCCGCGAGACUAAACUACAANAGAUAGACGG
rnacentral:rRNA from 1 species